AGUAAUUUAUAAACAGAAACAGUCAGACCGGAGCUCUUUAGCUCUCUCUCUCAAUCGAGCGCGGGCCAUUUUCAGCAAGGAGCAGACCAGCUGUUCGUCUACUGACCACACCGACGAGAGGAAGUGCCUUUGCAAAUGCCGCCGAUCGAAGCCCAUUUUCAGUGAUGGAAGAACGCUGGUCAGCAAAGAUGGAAGCUUUGAACUGGGUUUCUUCAGUCCUGGUAGUUCCAAGAAUCAUUACUUGGGAAUAUGGUACAAGAGUAUCCCAGUUAAAACUUUCGUUUGGGUUGCAAACCGACUCAACCCAAUCACUGACUCAUCUGGCUUGUUGAAAAUAAACAGCACAGGCAAUCUUGUGCUUAUGAGUCAGAAUGAGAGUGUUGUUUGGUCGAUAGGAUUACAAAAACAAGCUAGGAAUCCUGUGUUACAGCUAUUAGACUCUGGAAAUCUUGUACUAAGAGAUGGAAAUUCAGGAAUCUUUCUGUGGGAGAGCUUCGACUAUCCGUCUGAUACAUUUUUACCAGGAAUGAAGAUGGGAUGGGACUUAAGGAAAGGUAUUAAGUGGCGUCUUACAGCAUGGAAAAGUCCAGAUGAUCCAUCUCCUGGGGAUUUCACAUAUGGGAUAGAAAUGCAUCCAUACCCCGAGCCUGUUAUUCAGAAAGGGACCAGCAAGUUCUACCGUACAGGCCCAUGGAAUGGUCUUCAGUUCAGUGGUUCACCGGAUCUAAAGCCCAAUCCAAUUUACGACUACUUCUUUGUUUCGAAUGAGUAUGAAGUGUACUAUACCUACAACCUCAAAAAUAAAUCAGUAAUCUCAAGAAUAGUUUUGAACCAAACUAGCAAUACACGUGAACGCUACAUAUGGAUUGAAGCUAGUCAAGUUUGGCAUCGCUAUACAUCAGUACCUAGAGACUAUUGUGACUAUUACGGCCUUUGUGGAUCCAAUGGAAAUUGUAUCAUUAGUGGAUCACCGGUCUGCCAAUGUUUACAAGGAUUCAAGCCUAAAUUACCGGAAAAAUGGAGCUUAAUGGACUGGUCUCAAGGUUGUGUACGCAAUAAACCUCUGAGCUGCGAUAAAGAUGGAUUUCUCAAAUUUGUUGAUUUGAAAUGGCCAGAUACUUCAUAUUCUUGGGUGAAUCAAAGUAUGAGCCUCAAUGAAUGCAGGGCCAAGUGCUUGAACAACUGUUCAUGUAUGGCUUAUACAAACUCAGAUAUCAGAGGAAGUGGUAGUGGCUGUGCCAUGUGGUUUGGUGAUCUAAUGGAUAUUAGACAGUUUCCUUCUGGUGGGCAAGAUUUAUACAUCAGAAUGCUGGCUUCAGAGCUAGAGGCAAGUCAUGUUCAUAAGAUAAAUAAAGCAGUGAUAGUUGCUGCCACCCUUGCUGCAGUUUGUGGAAUGCUCUUAGUUGGCCUUUACAUUUGCAGAAGCAGAACAAACUUAAAAGUAAAAACAGAGAGAAGUGGAAUUAUGGAUUAUCAGAACAAUGAAGGCCAUAACGAAGACCUUGAGCUCCCUUUCUUUGACCUAUCCACAAUAGUUUGUGCCACUGAGAACUUUGCAAUCAACAAGAAGAUUGGUGAAGGUGGUUUUGGAUCUGUUUACAUGGGUAUACUAGAAGAUGAACGAGAAAUUGCUGUCAAAAGGCUUUCAAGGAGUUCUGGACAAGGAUUGAAUGAAUUCAAAAAUGAAGUAAGACUAAUUUCCAAGCUUCAACACCGAAAUCUUGUAAAACUUCUUGGUUAUUGCAUUCAAGAAGAAGAGAAACUGCUGGUUUAUGAAUACAUGCCCAACAAAGGCCUGGACUCCUUCAUUUUUGAUCAAAUGAAAGGCAAAUUGUUAGAUUGGUCCAAGCGCUUCCACAUUAUGUGGGAUUGCUCGGGGGCUUCAAUAUCUUCACCAAGAUUCUAGAUUGAGAAUUAUACAUAGAGAUCUCAAGGCAAGUAAUGUUUUACUUGAUAGUGAGAUGAGUCCUAAAAUUUCAGACUUUGGCAUGGCUAAAACUUUUGGAGGAGAUCAGUCAGACGGAAACACAAAGAGAGUGGUUGGAACUUAUGGUUACAUGGCACCAGAAUAUGCUUUUGAUGGACUCUUCUCAACAAAAUCUGAUGUCUUUAGUUUUGGGAUUUUAUUGUUGGAGAUCAUAAGCGGGAAGAAAAGUAGAGGGUUUUAUCAUCCAAACAAGCAUAACCUUAUUGGACAUGCAUGGAUACUGUGGAAUGAGGGCAGGCCUUUGGAAUUGCUUGAUGAAUUUUUGGGAGAAUCAUGCACAAUGUCAGAAGUAUUGCGUUGCAUCCAUCUAAGUCUCUUAUGCGUGCAACAACGUCCUGAGGAUAGACCAAGCAUAUCUUCUAUCGUUGUGAUGCUAGGCAGUGAGAGUGCAUUGCCUCAACCCAAACAACCUGGUUUCUUCUUGGAAAAGGAUUCAAGUGAAGGGCAAUUUCUCAUGAGUAAACGCAAAUCUUCUUCAACCAAUGAAAUCACAAUCACAUCGUUGGAGGCUCGCUAACAAUUUUUUACCAAUAUCAUACAACAUUGUCAAUGUAGAAUUAUAAUCAUCAUCAAAUAUUGUAAACUGUAUUCCUACUCUCAAGUAAGAGAGUCCGCAUCAGUGGAUAUAAAAUUUUGUAAAUUUUGCAACAAAAAAAAAAAACCUACAUUUUCUAUUUUAC